rnacentral:rRNA from 1 species
GACGAACGCUGGCGGCGUGCUUAACACAUGCAAGUCGAACGGAAAGGCUCCAGCUUGCUUGCAUGCUCGAGUGGCGAACGGGUGAGUAACACGUGGGCAAUCUGCCCUGCACUGUGGGAUAAGCCUGAGAAACUGUGUCUAAUACCGGAUAGGAGCUUUCUCCUCAUGGGGUUGGGAAGAAAGUUUUUCGGUGCGGGAUGAGCCCGCGGCCUAUCGGUUUGUUGGGGGGGGGAUGGCCUCCCAAGGCGGCGACGGGUCGCCGGCCGGAGAGGGUGAUCGGACACAUGGGGACUGAGAGAGGCCCCAGACUCCUAGGGGAGGCAGGAGGGGAGAAUAUUGCACAAUGGGGGAGAGUCAGAUGCAGCGACGCCGCGUGAGGGAUGACGGUCUGGGGGGUGAAAAGCUCUUUCAGUAGAGACGAAGCGUAAGUGACGGUACCUGCAGAAGAAGCACCGGCUAACUACGUG